UUUUAAACCCUUUAUUUUCGAGAGAGAGCAUGCAAGCAGGGAAGGGGCAGAGAGAGGGGGAGAGAGGAUCCCAAGUAGCAUCUAUGCUGUCAGCACAGAGCCCAGAUGCGGGGCUUGAACUCAUGAACUGUGACAUCAUGACUUGAGCUGAAGUCAGACGCUCAAGUGACUGAGCCACCCAGGAGCCCCAGGCCAUGUUUUUAAGUGAUUACAUAGUUUAAAACAGUUUUGAGUUGAAAAGCAGUUUUGCCAAGGAUCCACCUGAUCCCUCCCUUCAGCCCACCACCAACAUAAACGUGUGUGUAUGUUUAUGUUAAUGAAUGUGUGGGCCGCUAACGUGUGUUAAUUUCUUUUUUCUUUGUUGUAAUCUAUCAGUAAGUAGCCUUUAAAAAGCUUGUGCUGUAGCACUCCUGGUCAGAAGUUGUUUUUCCUCUUUGUAGUUGCAAAAAAACCCCACAAUUUAGAUUUUAUUUCCAAAAGGAGCAAACUCUUUGACUCCUGAAAAAGAAGAGUGAAAGUUACUUUAAAUGAUAAAAUAUGUAAAGCCCUUUUAAGUGGCAUAGGGGAAGGGAAGAGAGGGAGGCAAACUGUAAGAGACUCAAAUACAGAAAACAACCAGAGGGUUGCUGGAGGGGGGGGGGGGGGUUUGGCUAAAUGGAUGAUGGGUACUCAGGAGGGCACUUGUGAUGAACACUGGGUGUUAUAUGUAAGUGAUGAAUCUCUAAAUUCUACUCUUGAAACCAUUAUUACACUUCAUGUUAACUAACUUGGAUUUAAAUUAAAAGAUAACAUAAAAAAAUAAGAUGGUGAAGUUCUCAGUAUUUUUCUACAGGGUGUGUUGCACAUAUUAUUUCUUCAUGUUUUAGCCAUAGAAGUCAAGGCUGGUGUUGAAACCCCAUGGAAAUGAUUCUUCACUUUGUCCUCUGUGUCAGAGUAGCGAUAAUUGUGUUUGUUUCUGCUGAGCAGUCUGUGAUCAUAAAGCUCUUUGAAAACCAGUGGAAGGCCUUCACUUGGUGAUCCACUGUAGUGUGAGAGCCCCACCGCUAACUCUGGCCACGUUUCCUGUGUGUAGUCUAUUAAAAAGUAAUGUGAAACGUGGGGUUGAAGAUGGGUCCAGAAAUAGGACCCCCCCCCCCCCGCCCCCUCUGGGAAAAUACUCUCACUCUCUCCCCCAUUGAAUUAUUAUUAUUAUUAAAAAUGUUUUAAAGGCUUUUAUUUUUAUUUAUCUAUUAAAUUUUUUUUAAUGUUUAUUUUUGAGAGAGAGGGAGACACAGAAUCCAAAGCAGGCUCAAGGCUCUGAGCUGUCCGCACAGAGCCUAACGCAGGGCUCAAACCUAUAAACCGUGAGAUCAUGACCUGAGCCGAAGUCGAACUCUUAACCGACUGAGCCGCUCAGGCACCCUUAAUUUUAUUUAUUUUGAGGGAUAUAGAGAGCAAGCAGGGGAAGGGCAGAGAGGGAGGGAGAGAGAGAAUCCCAAGCAGGCUCUGCACUGUCAGUUCAGAGCCCAGUGCAUGGCGCAAACCCACAAAUCGCGAGAUCAUGACCUGAGUCGAAAUCAGGAGUCAGACGCCCAACCGACUGAGCCGCCCAGGAGCCCUGGUCCCCCAUUAAAUUAUUGUUAAAGCGAAAGCAUAUUUGGUCCCACUACUUGAAUAUAGCUGGGGUUUUUUUUGGUGCCUUUUUUUUUUUUUUUUUUUUUUGCUUAUUUUCUUUUAUCUGUGCAUACAUAUAUUUAAGACAUUGCAGUUAUACAUACACAGGUGCACAUUUUAUAUUUUCCAUUCAGAAAUGGAUCAUAGAUAUCGUCCCCCGUUUCCACGUGAUUUGUUUUAUCACCUUAACGGACUUACCCUUGCCUCCUCUGUGUAAGGCAUGCCUCUUCUGUGGGACACAGAGCUCCAGCCAGAAAGCACAGUCCUGUUUGGCUCUGCUGGUUCGAGUAAUCUUGCCACUUUUCUUUUACCUUUGGAAAAAGAAAAGCUUAUUCAUCAUUCCUUCUCCUUUAACUGGAUUAUUGGAGAGCACUGUUAUUGUUAUUUAAUGUUUUUGUGGUUAAUUGCUUUGCUUACAUUGAUAAGCUGGACCACUGACGAGGUGGUAUUGCAAAUUCCUGCUGGGCUCCUUAUCCCCUGCUGGAGGAGGAGGAGGACAGUGCAUAUGGACUGGAGCCCCCGCAAAGACUGUGUGUGUGUGCGCAUGCCUACACUGGUGUGCACAGUAACUCGACCACAAAACCACUCUCCUUUCUGGGCGUCCUCUAGUCAGUGGGUCAGGCAAAUUGUAGGGACCUGAGGGAGGUGAACGGCAGGAAUUCUGCCUGGCUGAAUUGUAUUCUUCUUAGUUGUUCUUCAGAUGAAGACUUUAUAUAUGUGAUAAGCUUUUCUAGUUUUAAGGUAGCUUUAAUAUCAUGUAUGUUUCUUUCCGGUCUUUUGCUUUAACGAAAGGUAAUAGGUGAUAUGGAAACUGGCAGGACCAUGGGAGGUACAAACAUGGUGACUUAAGAUCACUGCUCUGAACAAACAUUCACCCCGAAUAGGACCAAUCUACUUUUUAGCAGUUUCAUAGCAUAUGAUUCAUGCUGGGUAUUCGUGUUUCCUUCCUGUACAUGGUGCACACAUGAGCGAGGGGCUGCUGGCAGCAGUGGUCUCAGUGUUGAAGUCCGGAUGCCUGGCCGCAUGGAGUGGCCACGGGGCGGGGGCCACCACAGUCUGUCAGUGCAAAGAGGGGAUCACGCCAUGUCACUUGCCCUUGUCCUGCCAUGCCAGCUGGUUUCAGGUCAGUUUAGAUCUUCCCUCUAAAGGAGUUAGGAAAAACGGUUGCGUUUCAGAGACUUGGGGGUUUUGGAACUUGGGAUAAGAGACAUGAACCUGUACUAGUACCCUUCUAUGAUACGUAUGUUUUUAACGAAUAGAAAAAUUUGAGAAAUACAAGGGAAACGAUAAGAGAAUUUAGCAUUACCGAAUUCUGCCGGAACUCGUUUGCCUUUUCUCUUUAUUCAAAUUUAGAAAUUUUUAUUUAUUGUAUGAUUGAUUGUCUUUAUUUGUUUAGCUCUUAUGAGCGUGGACAUGAAAAUGGGUAUUGGUGGAUAGACAUGCAAUUAAAGAAGAGGAGGAAGUAGGGACGCCUGGGUGGCUCUGUCGGUUGAGUGUCCGACUUUGGCUCAGGUCAUAAUCUCACAGUUUGUGAGUUCGAGCCCCGUGGCAGGUUCUGUGCUCACAGCUCGGAGCCAGGAGCCUGUUUCAGAUUCUCUGUCUCCCUCUGACCCUCCCCCACUUGUGCUCUUCCUCUCUCUAUCAAAAAUAAAAAUAAAAACAUUUAAAAAGAAGAGGAAGUGCUGUCAGAUACUGUGUGGUAAAAGUUUUUGCUAUUUUAAGAUGAAACACUGAAAGUGUAGACUGGCUGGCCAUUUGCCUUGUAGCAUUUAAAAUUUUUUUAAAGUUUUUAAAAAAUUUUUUUUAAUGUUUAUUUUUCAGAGAGAGAAGGAGAACGUGAGUGAGAGAGGGGCAGAGAGACAGGAAGUCAGAGGAUCUGAAGUGGGCUCUGCACUGAUAGCAUAGAGCCCAAUGUGGGGCUUGAGCCCAGGAACUGUGAUAUCAUGACCUGAACCAAAGUCAGAUGUUUAACCGAUUGAGCCACCCAGAUGCUCCAAGUUUAUUUAUUUUGAGAGACAGAGAGAGAGAGGGGGAGAGAAUCCCAAGCAGGCCCCACUGUGUCAGCACAGAGCCCGAUGCAGGGCUCGAACCCAAGAACCACGAGAUCACGACCUGAGCUGAGAUCAAGAGUUGGAUGCUUAACUGACUGAGCCACCCAGGCGCCCCAUGCGUUGUAGUAUUUUAUAAAACAGAAAAAUUUGGUAAGGGAUAUAUUAAUAUUUUGAUUGUAAUUUAUUGCCAUAAUCACCACGGUUACAGUUUGAUGCAAACAGAAGCAAAAUUUUUCAUGUGUCAGAAAUAAAGUUUAAAAUACAGAUCUUCACCAAAUGCAUUUCUGAUUUCAUUUGUAAGUUUGCUGGUUAGAACGCCUACGUGUUUUCUAAUAGAAAUGAGUUAUAAAUGGUGGGUAAAUUGUGAGGCUAGGCUAGAUAAGCCUAACUGAGCUAUAAUUUAAGGGUCAAAGUCCUGGUUCUGAAGGCAGGAAGCCAGUUGGUAGAAGACAGCUGGAGGAGAGGGAAGCCUUUUCCUUUCUUUUCUUGGCGUAGGACUGGCCCUGUGCAGGCCAGGGUGGCCUCUUGCAGGGUGCUGGCUCUGUUACUCCCAGGCCCUUUGUCCUCCAUCUGUUAACGCCUCCUUGGUACUAUGGCUCUGGUAUGGGACCUCUUUACUGCACCCCCUGCAAUAGGUUUCAGUAGUUUCCAAUUAAAGAUCCGAUUCCUUGUUUUAAAACUGAUUUUAGCUGGCUGUUUUAAAACUGAUUUUAGGUUUUACUCUGUUAGCCAGAACUAAUUUUAUACUAGUUGCUACAAGCAGUAGUCCUUGAUUGUAGGGAGAAAGUGUGUUACUCUAAGUAGGUACCUAAAAUGCAGAGUGUCAGGCAGUGAAAGGUCGAUGGCAUCUGUAGGCGAAGACGUAUGUGCUUGAGGAAGAUGGGUCUGCCAUGUCAUGCGCCGUGCUGGCACUGGAAUUGGGAAGGUAAAUCAUAAGCCCUGUCUUCAGGGAGCUUACAUUCUAAUAGCAGGGGACAUGUAUGUACACAUGCUUGUCAGUGGGCUCAAGGCAGCUGUAGAAGUGUCAGGCACGGAAACAGCACAAAGGAGGGAGUAAUGAAAAACCAGAAGGUGGCAGCUUGAAAAUCGAUCAAGGAAAUGGUGCCCGAGCUCUGUUUGAGACCUGUGAGUCGUUGUGCUCUGAGCUCUGCUGUCCCGGCAUCAUAGCAUUGCCACCCGAGGCCCCAGGGUGGAGGAAUGGGUGUUAAUCCGCUGUCAGUGGGCAGAGUUCACGAGCUGAUUGCCCUGAAGUCAGGAGCAGCUUGCAGUUUUCCGAGGUGGCAGGAGUUUCUUUUGAAAAAGUUGUAAUAGAUUAAAUCCUAGGCCAGAGCUCCAAGUACCUAGCAUUUGUUUAAUUUUUGACUCUGAAUCUCUUUCAUGGGUGGUUUAAUGGAUGUGGCUCCUGGGGUGGAUCAGAAAGCAGCUUUCCAAUGAGCUGGAGAGCAGAAUUCAACAAGCACGUUCACACAUUUUAGUCUUUAGUUACACCUGGAAAAAUCGGUGUAGAAGCCUCUAGAUCAACUAAAUAAAGAGCUUUCGUUUUAAUCCCCAUCGAUGAUGCUGAUUUUCCUGCGGGGCUCCUUACUCCACCUGGUUCAACCUGAGAGGGAAUUGGGAAGAAUGAAAGCAGUGUUGGGGUGGGUUGUUUGCGGUGAUUGCAUUGUUAAAAUCCUUUUCUUUAAUAAGUGUAAAACUUAAGCAUGGUAAGAUGCCAGUUCCCAUGAGAAAAGGAUUUUGGAGUUUUAUCUAGUUGGUUUACUUAAAUCUCUAAGGCUUGAUGGUUUAGGUAACUUGGGGGUCUGGAGAUGACAAUUUAUGAAAGUUGCUGGGUUAAAUCAGAACUGCUCAGUUUUUUUACUCUAUUAGCCAGAACUAAUUUUAAUAGUUAAAGUGAAAUGGCUCAUUUUGCAGUUCUGUUCUGUAAAGAGCGGUGGGCAAUACGUGUUUUGGGAAAGUGUGGACUCUGGGGGGGAGUGACUGGAACAACAAAGAGACUCAUGUUCACAACAAAAUUGAGCAGAGGAUACAGAGAUUUUCCCUUUUGUCUGCUCCCCUCCCCACCGCUGUCACUAUCCUGCACCAGAUUAUAUUGGUUGUGAUUGAUGAGCCUACACUGGGACAUCAUUAUCAUCCAAAGUCCUUAGUUGAUGUUAGGGCUCGAAUAACCGUUGCACAUCCUAUAGGUUUUAACAAAAUGUAAUGACAUGCAUCCGCAUUUAGAGUAGAAAGAAUAGUUUCACUGCCCUGAAAGCCUCUGUAUUUUAAAAACAUGUCUUUUUUGGUUCACUGGAAUAUUUUUUUAUCUGUACCCCAUUGUCUUCUCAUUGGCUUUUUUAUUUUCCAACUUGACCAAGUAGUUUCUCUCAGUGUGGGGGAGCCUGGGUUCCUUGGUCUCUGUCAUCGUGAAAGCUGCGUGCAUUUGGAGUUGUUAAGAUGCAUGCAUCCAAAAUUAUGUCUUGAGAAGUUAGUGGCUCUUGGCAGCCAUCCAGGAACCCAACCCCGGGGAGAUUCUAAUCGGGGGGGGGGGGGGGCAUUCUGCACACUUCCUUUUUGGUUCUCUGCUCCUUCAAUUAUCUCGUGACUGUUAACAGACAUGUUAAGUUAAAGGACACUGAACAUGGAGGUAUGUAUGUCGUACCUUCUCUAAGUAGAUCUCCCUUUUUGUUUUGACUCCCUGAAAUUUCCCUCAUCCCCUCCUUUCCCAGCAGGGUGGGGUGGAAGGACAUCUUGACCCAGGGAUGGAAUUAGGUGCUUUGCAGGUGAUUUGCUUCUGAGCCUGUCCUGCCUCCACCUGUGGCCUCAUGCCUUCAUGUCCUGAGGCUCCAUGAAGCUGCCCUCACACUGACCUGUCCUCAGCGUCUCUCAUGCUUCUGACCUCGGUUUGGUAGUUAGGGUUUAAACCCCUUCCUAUAACUCAGUUUCUGUGGAAGGCUGUUGGGAUUGGUACGGAGGGAGAAAAGCCACGGGGUCCCCCCCUUCUCCCCCCCCAAACUAAUGUAGAUUCCUUUUAAAAAAAUUGAGCUAUUACAAAAUUUAAUUUAUUUAAAAUAUUACAGAAGGAAUACAUAAUUAACUGUAAAAAAAAUCAAACAAUGCAGAAUUGUAUGGUUUUUAUUCCCCGGGGGUAGCUAAUGUUGAGGGUUAGGAUUCUGUGGUUGCGUUAAUUACAAAGGCGGGGCGGGGUGUUCACUCUUCUCCAUUCAGAACUGAAGGGGAAGGCUGGGAGUGCCAUUUGAUGUUUUUUCUUCCCAAUCUCAGCAGCUCCAUCAGAAAUGUCACCAACCGCUAACUAAGACUUCUUAAGCAAUCCAGUUUCUGCCAGCACUUAAGUGCUUUUCAUAGUCUUGAUGAGACGGGAAACUCCUUCCUCAACAGAUUUACUGGAUGUCUGCGAUGUUGAAGCCCCAUGCUGGAGGCUGGGGAAGUGGAUGAGCUAUGCCUGCUCUUAAUGUGCUCGCAGCCCAUUGUCCUGCAGACAUUCUGACAUGCCCAGCAAACGCUGGGAGUGCGAGGUGAUACUAGUCAAAGUGGGUGAAAGGAAGGAAGCCUUCCUGGAGGAGGUGGCAUUUGAGCAUGUAUCUGAGUAGUUUUUUAAAGUGCUAGUGGGUGAAGGGCAUUCCAAGCAGAUGGGGUCUUUUCAUAGAAUUGGCUGUAGUCUGGGGUAACUGGUGUAGAUGAGUUAGAUUAAUGUUUUUUUCUUCUUCCUACCUAAGAAAAUGGGAAAGAAAAGGCAUUGGAAAGAUUUCAGUUUGGAGUAGGGUAAGAGUGCUAAAAAAGGUGACAUCUGGGGGUUUCGAGUCAGUUGGUGUCUCCUUAAUGGAUUGGAUAAUCCAGAUUAUCCAAAACUGGCCUAAAGUGGCUUAGGUGGCUUCCUAGUUUGUUUCUGAUUUGCUUGGAGGACAGAUAACAAGUCGAGAUUGGAAAACCUAGGUAGGUCUUGAUUUCUACAGGCUGGUCCCAGUAUAUUACAUACAUACACGUUUUUGGAAGUUGAACUUAGUCUUUUUUCCUGAUUCGGAAGUGUUUUGUUUUGUUUUGUUUUAAAUUGGGCUAAAAACACAUUGAGGACAGAAGGCUGUAUAUUUUGCAUGCUUACAGUUGGGCCUCUGGAACUAAGCAAAAAUACCAUGCAAAUGAGCAUUUUUACCUUUUAAAAAAAAUGUUUAUUUAUUUAUUUGGAGAGAGAGGAGACGCAGGAUCCGAAGCGGGCUCCGCACUGUCAUCGCAAAGCCUGACGUGGGGUCUGAUCCCAUGAACCGUGAGAUGAUGGCCUAAGCUGAAACCAAGAGUUGGACACUUGGCCACCUGAGCCACCCAGGCGCCCCCAGUGUUUUUACUUCUGAGCCCAGACCUUUGGGUUGCGUUCACCUGGAAGAAGGCUGGCUGUGUCCCUGAGCUUUCUCAGGAGGCUGGCGUGUGAGGACGCUCAGGUGGAUUUCAGCAGCAGUUACGGGUGGCUUGUCUUUUGAGGAGACACAACUAUGGGACGGAGGCAGCUCCUAUUAAAAAAAAAAAAAAGAAGAAGAAACAAGGAAACUUUCGCCUUCUCUGAAGAGUCUCUUCAGUUGGCAAUGACUGUCAGCGUUAGCGAUGUGUCAUGACUUGGGAUGAGAACCGCUUUGAGGUUAGCUGCUGAGGGGGGACCUGCUGCUGUGAGAUUCCUGUAGAAAAGUCCAGAUCAUUAAGUUGAAGAGUUGUAAGAGGUGACUGCCUGCUCUGUGAGGUUACACCAGGCUUCGUGGGGAACAGUGGGUGGCAUCAGGCUGAUACAGGAAGUUGAUCAUCUUAGUUUGUGAUUAGCUGAAGAUAUUUCACGUGGUUGGGGUGAAAAUCUCCCUUUACCCGAAACCUUUGUGUGUCGCAUUGUGGUCAUCUACACGGUGUCAGGGCGGGGUUGCCAGUGGAGUUGUGUUAGCAACAGUCCAGUUGCAGAGGCCUCUGAAUCGUGACCAUUGUGGUCCUAGCCCUGGCUAACAAUGGGGGCUUCUCUACUUAUCGUUACUUGGGGCUUACCCGAGAGAUCCAGAUGCGGAUUGAAGGCCAUACAGUGGACUGAAUAGUUUUAUUAAGGGGAUUAAGCAGUUUAUUCAUUUUUCUUAGAGAAAGAUGUGGCAUGCGGGGGCAUGGUGGCAUGUGUAUGUGGCUACUGUGUGUGAUUUGAGAGUAAGCCCUUGGGACAGGUCAGCUCCUUGACACCUGCAUGAUUUAUCUUCCCAUCUCUAGCCAUUAGUGAAGUUCACUGAGUGCCCGUCAUCUGCGUUUCAACUACUGCAUGUAAUUUUAGCAGUUGCGACUCAGAAGAAAAACUCGAGUAGGGCUUCAGGUCAGACUGUAAUGGGAACACAGGAGCAUUUGUUAUAUACUGGUUUAAAAAAAAUUUUUUUUCAUCUGUUAUUCUCAGGAAAACUAUAUUUAUGCAUUUGUCGUUCCUUUUACAGAUGAGUAAACUUAGGCCUGCAGAAAUGAGUAGCUAGCAAGAAGCGGAGAUGGCUUUGAACCCACGUGCAUCUGGCCGUGGGCGCCAUAUUCUUUUCUUUACACUAUGACAAGUUCUCUAGUGGAUUGGCCUACUGAUCUGGAGAGUUAGGGUUUUCAGUUGAGUUCUCAAGGGAGAAGGGAGGAAUUGGUGACCAGGCUCCAUUAAUGGCAUCACCUACUCUGAGGGCUUAGCAGCGGACCGUUGUUCUGUAUGACGAAUAAUUACAGUUUGGGAUGGGUUUAUUGGAAUAUUUGGAUAGGUGAUGGAGGCUGUGAUAUUGAGAUUUAGAAAAGGUUACUUGUACAUGUUACGCAUUUUUUCAGUUUGUUCAAUUGGUCAGAAAGAGUUGGUAAUAAGGCCAAGGUUUCUGGGUUGAUUGCUGAGUGUAUCUGGGACCCUUGCAGAGAAAACGGUGAUUCACAAUUACGAUUUCAUCUCCUCCUUUUACCUCCCCACCCCUGUGGCAGACCUAUGCAGGAAUCAGUGAAGAGGGGUCUCAGUACCAAUACUGGAAAACAACACAUAGCCAGUGCUCUAUUGAUGUAAAAAAAAAAAAAAUCUGUAUCUUUUAAAUUUUUUCGAUUAAAAAGUGCGUUAAAAAGGGGAGCUGAGACACAUGAAGAGUUAUUCAUGUGUUAUGUCAGUUUUGAGUUGAGAAAAUCCAUCUUGUUGCUUAUUUGGGCCUGCUGCUUUGUUCUGGACACAUUGUAGAAAGUGAAAAAUGGGAAUUUGACUUUCCAUGAUGGCGUGUGUGCUGCCUGCAUUUGUGGGAUCAGAGAUGGGAAGCCCUGUUGUGGGUGCUCAUGAGGAAGGUGAGCAAGCAGCCUGCUUACCUUUGGGUUGGUUGAAAGGAGGCCGAGGAGGAGGACGGCAGGCAGCGGGGUGGUGGGUGAGGCCUUCACUGCCCGUGAGCAGUGGUGUUGGCCAGUGGAUGGAAGAAAGCCUCUGUUCACCAUACUCUUGGCAAACUUAGUCACUUUAUAGCAAUAUCACCCAUAGUUUAAGCUUUUUGACAGGUCUGAUAAUUUUCAUCAUUCAAAAAAGGAAAGCAAAACCAAAAAUACAAAAAAGUCUUUUAUAAAAUGAAUUACUCCAGGGGCGCCUAGGUGGCUCAGUUGGUUAGGCGUCUGACUCUCGGUUUCGGCUCAGGUGAUGAUCGCAGGGUUCGUGAGUUAGAGUCCCACAUCGGGCUUCGCGCUGACAAUGCAGAGCCUACUUGGGAUUCUCUCUCUCCCCCCCUCUCUCUUUGCCCCUUCCCCGUGCUCGCUCUCUCUCUUGUGUGCAUGCUCUCUUUCAAAAUAGUAAAAACAAAGUUAAAAAAUGAAUUACUCCACCAUUUGGUUUUUGUAACAUUGAGUGGAAAGAAGAGAAGUAGGCCUUUGAUAGUGAAGGGUCUCAGAUGAGCCAUCUGAGAUCUGGGACAUCUCUGGUGGGAGAACCCAGCGUCACUGGGCAAGGUGAUCCGUGCCCUGUGCAGGCCUGCCCUUUAUCAGGGGUUCAUUGGGAAAGGGGCGUCAUACUCCACCUGGGCCCUGCAGCCUCUGAAGCCUUUGCUGCCACUGUUACCUUGCUCUCUGCCUGCAAGUGAGGAGCCACUGUCCUUUUAACUGAUCGAUUUUGUAUAUUGAAACUAUUUCUCUCAUUCUUCAGUGGAACCUAGAAUGACAAAGAUUUUGAGGGGGGUAUUGAAUCACACCCAUUUCUUAAGAAAUUCCUGUGAUUUUUCCCAGUUUCUUUCAACUUUCAUGUUUCCUUUUUUAGCUUCAGAAGAAACAUUGUAAUGGGCUUAAAGUAAAUGCAAAUAUAGCAGAAAUUAAGUUUUCUUCUUUCAGAUGAUUUAUCUUUUUUAGCCUUUUGCUUUUGUUUAUUGGUUCUUUUGGAGAGAAUUGUUUAAGAGGAAUGGAGUAAUUACAGUGUUUGGUGUAAUACAGUUCAGGAUGUGUAAUGUAUUAUAGGAGCACAUUUGCUGCUUUUAGCUUCUUGAUUAUUGUCCACAUUGAUUUAGGGUAAUGGAUUAGAGAUGCCCAAAAACUGACCUCUCCCAACCAGAAUGGUUUGAGCCAAGCAUUCUGGACCAUAAACUUAAAAUCACCCUAAAGUCAAGUCUGGACUUUCAAAAUAAAAAAAAAAAAUCUUUUAGGUUAUGUAUGUAUUUGUAUUCAUUAGAAAUGGAAAUGUUACAGCUCUGCUUUUUUCUUAGUAUAAAUUUGUAAAAUAAGCUUACUUGUUUUAAGACUUGGGACAAUGCAGAAAAACAUCAAUAAAAAAGCCCAUAAACAUCCAUUGUUAACAUUUUAAUGUACGUUCUUCUGAAGUCCUUUCUGUGAAUCACCCACCCGUCCUGCCACAUACAACAAAACCAGAACCAUUCUGUAUGUACUGUUCUGUAAUGUUCUGUUUUUCAUAUUAAACCGUGGAAUGUUUCUGCAGGUGAGCAAACCAUUAUUUUGAGUGGCUGCUCGGUAUUUCAUUGUAAGGCUGCAGAAUAAUUCCUGAAAUUAAUCCUACGUUGAUAACUGCUCAGGUAGUUUGCAACUUAAAAAAAAAAAGGGAAAUGCCAAUGAUUAUAUGAAUCUUUCCACUUACCUAGUUAUUUCCUUAAGAUAUAUUGGUAGAAGGACUUUCAUUUCUUUUUUUUUUAAAUAUUUUUAAAUGUUUUUAUUUAGUUUUGAGAGAGAGAGAGACAGAUACCAUGUGAGUAGGGGAGGGGCAGAGAGAGAGAGAGAGAGAGAGAGAGAGAGAGACAGAGACAGAGAAUCCAAAGCAGGUUCCAGGCUCUGAGCUGUUAGCACAGAGCCCGACGUGGGGCUCGAACCCACAAACUGUGAGAUCAUGACCUGUGCCGAGGUCAGAUGCUUAACAGGCGCCCUGUAUUUACUUCUGUUUUUAGGUAUGGUUCACGUAUGUUGUUGCUUCCCUAGCUAGCACCUUCUCUGAUCACGUGUAUCUUCUUAGUUCUUCUUUUUAGGUGAUUUUUGUUCUCUUUUUCAUUGUUUGCCAGCAGUAUUUUACUUUUUCUGCUUUUAACAUGGAUGUUUAUUAGGAUAAUGGCUUUUAUUACCUUCAACUGUGGUGACUAGAUUUUUUGGGGGGGGGGGGACUAAAAAAAAUCUUUAAAGGAGUGUUCUGAUUUUCUUUAGUUUUUUUUUUUAAUUUUUAAUGUUUAUUUAUUUUUGAGAGAGACAGAGAGCACGAGUGGGGGAGGGGCAGAGAGAGAGGGAGACACAGAAUCUGAAACAGGCUCCAGGCUCUGAGCUGUCAGCACAGAGCCCGACAUGGGGCUCGAACCCACGGACCUGAGCUGAAGUCGGACACUUAACUGACUGAGCCACCCAGGCGACCCCCCCUUUUUUUUUAAAUUUAAUUUUACUUAAUUUGCAAUUCCAGUUAACAUACAGUGUCAGUUUCAGGUGUACAGUAUAGUAAUUCAGCACUUCCAUACAUCAGCCCCGUCUAGUUUCUUUGAGUCAAGAGAAGUCUUUGAAAUGAUUCCCCUGCCCGCAGCCUUGGCCCCUGCCAUUCCUAGAAAAGAAUUUCAUGUUCAGAGAAGCCGCUGCUUGCCUGGGGCCCCGCAAGUUGUGGAUUGGGUCCCUCCUCUUCCCGCAGCUUGGCUCAGGUGUCCCUCUCUCUACUUGGCAGGCAGUCUUCAGCGUGAUGGCUCUUUCCUCCUUCUGUUGGAGGCGGACUUCUCGUGGCAUCCUUCAUUACCUUCAGUGUGGAUCGGAGGAGAGCGGCAUAGAUGGGCCUUUCGUGGGCUUUGUUUCUCUGGGAGUCUUGUUGCAGUGAGGGUGUGAAGCUUGGGUUCCGUCAGUGUAAUCGACCGUGAAUUGACGCCCAGAUAUUCACACUUGGCCAGUCUGCCUGCUGAGCUGUUCUCCUUGGGCAUAGGGCCAAGGAGGACCCCGGAGGAAAAUGAAGCUUUUGUGCAGCACGUGGUUUGUGUGGCCUAGACAGGUGCGCGGGUGACUGGGUCUCCCAGGUAUCCAGCAGGAGAUGGCUCACUGCUCUGGUGAUGUCCUUUAAAGAUGUGCCUGUUGGUUUAAAGCUUCCUUCCAUAGUGUUUAUUGAUGACUUAUUCUUUUCCGCUGGCAGGAGAUGACAGUAUGUCACUGUGGUCUGUAGGGAUGGCAGGAGCCCGCCCGACCCAGCUCCGUCCCUGCAACGGGAGCACAACAACUUCCUUAUGGAAGGGACCUCGCAGAGGUUACCUCCCUGACUGCGGUCAGAGAAUUGAAGAAAUACUGAAAAGAAGAUAAUUUUAAGGAGAAACUUAUCAUUGGUGCAAGUCUGGAAUCUUUCUGUGUCAGAAGCGCAGAAACACUUUUGUAUUUCAUUUUUUUAAGUUUAUUCGUUUUUUGAGAGAGACAGAGCAUGAGUGGGGGAGGGGCUGAGAGAGAGGGAGACACAGAAUCUGAAGCAGGCUCCAGGCUGCGAGCUGUCAGCACAGAGCCCGACGCGGAGCUCGAACCCACUAACCCCGAAAUCAUGACCUGAGCUGAAGUCGGACACUUAAACUGCCAAGCCACCCAGGCGUCUCAGGGCAUCCUCUUCAUUAUUUCAGCAUAGUAUUUUCAGACUUCACCCUUGGAGGUGGGGGAUGGCUGGCAUUUUCUGUCAGUUGGGAGGUCUGUAAGUCAGGGGUGUCCUUGGACGUGACCUUGGGAAUGGAGGGGUGGCUCCUCUCUGCCUUUUCCCUCUUUCCACUGUGAGCAAAGCCACUUCUUUGGCCCCCCUUCUCCCGGGCUGCUGCGUCUAAUCUGCUGUGGGUUAGGGACCUUUCUCAGAGUGUGUGUUGUGGACCAGAACGUUCUGAGAGAGGGACUGAGGUCCCCUCCUGGGCAGAGCGGUGCAGGUGAAUUCAGGGCUUAGCAUUCGUGACCACUAUUUCUGUGCUCGGAGCCUUUUUGCGCUUGGAAGCGGAAGGCAUUGUGCUUCCUCAGGGUUGAGGUUUCUAAAACCUGACCUCUGAAUCAAAGUGGAGUUGCUCUACGGGAACAAUUGGGAACAAGCAUCAAGCAUCGUGCGAGCGUCCCUUAAAUCUAUGCCCCCUUCAUGCCGCAGUCCAGCCCAGGGUGGGGGUGGGGGACUUUGUUGCAUUAUUCAUUUGAUUUGCUUUUCAAGUGUUUAGUUCUCUUUUUUGGGAAUGCAGCAUCUCUGUAGUAUCCUUGGGUAGGGAUGGAUUUCGCUGAAGUGGUGAACUUGUGGAGGGUGGUGUGACUGGCCAUUUCUUCUCACUCAGCCAGGGAGCAGAGCCCGGGCCCAUCUUUUCUCUCCUCUUACCCUGGUGGCCUUCUGGUGAGGCGACUUUUCCCUCACGCCCCGAGUAUUUCCCCUCCUUGAAAAGGGGGUUUGAUACACAAAGGUGCCGUGGAAAUUAGGAGCCAGGAAACCUGAGUAUUUACUUAUUGUUAAAAUUUGUUUUUUAAUGUUUAUUUUUGAGAGAGAGAGUGAGCGAGUGAGCAUGAGUGGGGGAGGGGCAGAGAGAGGGAGAGAGAGAGAGUCCCAAGCAGGCUCUGCACCGUCAACGCAGAGCCUGAUGCUGGGUUUGAACUCACAAACCGUGAGAUCAUGACCUGAACCGAAGCCAAGAGUCGGACGCUUAACCGACUGAGCCACCCAGGUGCCCCUCAGCUAUGUGAGAUUUAAUGUGUCCGUUUCUUAAUCUGAAGUGAACUAUUUUUUGUACUCUUGUCUGGAGUCUAAGAUGCCGUCUGUAUGAGGGGUGUGUGGGAUUACUGUGUUAUAGUUGAAUUGAGCCCAGAAUCUAUGAGGUGGGCUCGAUUUUAGUCACGGUCAAUAAAAUGCAGGGUGGAGGUUGGAGGAAGUUGGAACCAGCCUCCUUAUUUAGUAGAGAUUGUUUCUGAGACUAUGCAAAGGGUAAGUGUGUUGUUUUUUGUCAGACUUGCUGCCCUUACCUCCUCGACCCCGAGGGUUGGCUGGGAGCGGUCCUUAUUCAGCAGCAUCGAUGUAGGUUUUCAUACCUUCCAGAGGGUUGCCUGUUGUAGUCCCUGUUUAUACUAUUUGAGAAUGGCUGACAUACCUGCCUCCGCUGGGGUUGGCGGAACGUGGUGCCGGAAAAUAUUAAAUCAUGAGAGUUGAUCACCUUGUCCAGAAAAUAAGGCAGUUUUGUGAACCACCUGAGUCUUCCAGGUGCGAUAAGUGGCCUAUGAUUAGAGGAAAUGAACUCAUUGAAUCUUUAUCCCCUCAAAAGAUACGGAAACCACAACACAAAGGUUAGGUGAGUCGCCCAAGAUCAUUAGGCAAAUGUGUGGUAGAGGCGGGCAGGCUUUGAACGAGUUUGUCUCAAAAGCCUACACCCUUAACCACUCACUUCACGUUUCUACCACGAGGAAGUAUGUGGUAUUUCUCUGUUCAACAACAGGUCGUGGUAUGAGAUGGUAGGAAGUACAUGAGUUCUAGGCCGUGUGGGAUACAGUGAGCAAAAACAUUUUUCCUCACUGCUGCACUACUUUUGCUACUGUACUGGUUGAGAAAAUAAACUCUUGCAUUUCCAAGGCAAGGUUAAUGUAGUUCUUCCUUAAUAAUUACGGUCUUUUGAAGCAUCCCCUUCUUGGGGACUGUUCACUAGGCAGAUAAAAUGGCGCAGAGCGCAAGUGAGCCCACAACUUACUUUAUCACUUUGCUUGCCGUGUUUAAUCCUCUUGGGACAGUAUCUGGUGUGUUUAUUAAAUUGGCUGCUUCUGAGCCAAAAAUAAAUCUUUCCUGAAGGACGUUAAGAUUUUAUUUUAGAUUCGAUUGUAAGUUCCCUGAGCCGCCAUCUUUUCGGAAUCUGAUCCUAAAGAUCAUGCUCUUCUCCUCUUAACGAUCCCGGAAGUUUUCGUGGUAAUGCCAUAAUGAAGACAUAAGACAGCCUCUUCUUCUUUUUUUUUUUUUUUUUAACUUCUUUUUUAUUUUUUUAAUGUUUAGAGUGCGCACAUGUGCGAGCAGGGGAGGGACAGAGACGGGGUUAGAGGAUCUGAAGUGGGCUGUGCGCUGACAGCAGAGAGCCCAGUGUGGGGCUCGAACUCACGAACCCGUGAGAUCACGACCAAAGUCAGACACUUAACCGCCUGAGCCACCCGGGCGCCAAAACCUCUUCUUCUUCUUAAGCUUGGAACAGAGACCGACACUGCUCUUCAUAGAGUUGAUCAGGAUACGUCUUGCUGUUGAGCAGCUUGAAGCUUCAUGGAUACCCUUGCUUUGUGGCCUGCUGUGGCCCUUGUGUUUGGGGGCAGGUUGGGUGGAAGAGUAGGCAGCAGUGUGAAGUUUUGGGGGAUCUGUGGAAGCUAUGGAAAACCCCAAAGCUUGUUUGUUUUGUUUUCCAAAAAACCAUUCAUUUAUGGACAUCGCCGCACUCCCCUCAUGCCAGGUAUUGUGCUAGCUGAUGAGAGAAGACGAACCGUGGGAAGUCCUUGCCCUCGUAGGCCUCACAGUCCUUUGGGGGACACACGUGAAUACAGUUGACCUCUGUUCCCAGCAGCCCCUACUCUCCUUCGUCUCCAUCGCUUUGACUUUUCCGGACACUUCAUAGAAGAGAAUGCGUGCAGUCUGUGGUUUCUUGUGACUGUCUCCUUUCACUUAGCAUGUUUUCGAGGUUCGUGAUGUGGCAUGUGUUGUCAGUAGCUUGGUCCCUUUUAUUGCCGCAUAGUGUCCCAUUGUACGGAUGUGCCUCAUUUUGUCUGUCCCUUCACCAGCUGAGGAACAUCUAAGCUGUUUCCACUGUUCCAGUGAACAUUCGAGUGUGUGUCUUUGUGUGGACCCUUAGGAUUUCCACUUCUCUUGGGAGUGGGAUUGCUGGGUCGUAUGGUGGUCUUGUGUUUAAUUUAUUGAGAACCUGCCAAACUGCUUUCUGAAGUGGCCAUACCAUUUUAUAUCCAACUGGCAAUUUAGGGAGGGGCGACCUAUUUCCAAUAGAUUUAAUAGACUUACCAGUACAUCCAAUAUAAUAAUAUUGAUAUUGUUCCAUUAACAUGGCAAAAUGGAGAAAAGCAACAAAAAAAUUGUUACAUUAUUUACCCUUUUAGAGGCAUUUUAUGGUUGUAGCCCUCUGUACCCACUGAAGAGGUGUGUGCUUCAGGGCAGUGUGAUUGGAGUGAACAGAAUGGAAAUUCAGGGGCAUCUGGGUGGCUCAGUCGGUUAAGCAUCCGACUCUUGAUUUCAGCUCAGGUCAUGAUCUCAUGGUUCGUGGGUUUGAGCCCCGCGUCGUGCUCCGCGCUGACAAUGCUGAGCCAGCUUGAGAUAUUCCCCCUCUCUCUCUGUCUCUCUCUCCCCCCCCUCUCUCCCUCUCUCCCUGCCCCUCCCCGACUCAUGCUUGCUUUCAAAAUAAAUAAACAAACAAACAAAAAAAUAAUAGAAAUUGAGACCAGUGUGCCAGGUGGACUGCAGGCUGAGUUAAUAUAAACAUCUUGUCCUUUCUGUUUCGUUUGGUGGGCGUGAGGAUCUGUGGAGCAACUCUUUCUGUAAGUUUUAGUUAUUACAGCUUUCCUUUCAGUCAGCACCCAGCCCUGGACUCCUGCGUCUCCUCAUUUAAUGUUUCUUCUGAUAUCGUCCCGGAGUCGUGACAGCCGUUGGUAGGACAGAACAAAGUAAUACCUUUGCUGUGGUUUCCUCAGUGCUCAUGAGUUUUUUUUUUUUUUUUACCUCACCUCGGGUCUGGUGAAGGAGCGAGAAGGGAGGGAGGGCAGGGGCUGUGUGGGAGGGAAGAAAGGUCCACGGAGGGGACAGAGGAUGACACAGCGCAGAAAGUGAAUAGGAUAGGCAACAUCUCUGCUCUGGAGCCCAAGGCCAACUUAAGGUGCAGG